GUUAAAAAGCUCGUAGUUGGAUUUCUGCAGGAGUGACAAUGUCCGCCCGUGUGCGUGCGCAGCGGCGCCCCUGCAUCCUUCGGUUACCUUCGCUCGGCAUUCACUUGCCGGCGGUAGGCUCCGAAUAUUUACCUUGAGAAAAUUAGAGUGUUUCAGGCAGGCUUAGCCGGAAUACAUUAGCAUGGAAUAAUAGAAUAUGACUACAGGCUCUUUGUUGGUUCGAGGGACUGGAGUAAUGAUUAAUAGGGAUAGUUGGGGGCAUUAGUAUUUAAUUGUCAGAGGUGAAAUUCUCAGAUUAACUAAAGACUAACUUAUGCGAAAGCAUUUGCCAAGGAUGUUUUCAUUAAUCAAGAACGAAAGUUAGGGGAUCAAAGACGAUCAGAUACCGUCCUAGUCUUAACCAUAAACUAUGCCAACUCGGGAUCGGGGGCGUGUAAUUAUCAGCCUUCGGCACCGUAUGAGAAAUCAAAGUCUUUGGGUUCUGGGGAGAGUAUGGUCGCAAGGUUGAAACUUAAAGGAAUUGACGGAAGGGCACCACCAGGCGUGGAGCU
rnacentral:rRNA from 1 species